UUAAUUUUCAUGUAAACCAAUCGCAUAAGACUUGAGAAAAGAAUUAAAUUUAGGUUUUGAAUGCAAAGAACAAAAGUAAACAUGCAAAAUGCAGUGAAUCAAUUGGCUAGAAAAGACUAUGAAUGAAUGGAGUUGUUGGGGUUUACAAUUUCAUCUUAUCCACCCUCUUAUAUCUACUCUUCUUAUCUACUUCACUUAUUUAUCAUAUUGUCACGCAAACUUUCUUAGUCUACCCUAAACCCAAUCUCUUGGCGAAAAGAGCCUAUUACCAAUUACUGGCUUGCUAUCUCUAGCCUCCCCUAGUAACUAAUAAUGCAUGAUAAAUGGAAGCAAAAUACAAUUGAUCGUCCUACUCCUAUCUCUAGGCGGUAUUAUCAGACAUAGGGAUAGGAGGAUCGAUUGCCUUUAAGCUUUUGUGUGAAUGUAAUGCAUGAUCACUUGCUAGGGAGACAAGACAUUGUAAACUAGUAAUCAGGAAUAGGCUCUUUUCACCAAGAAAUUAGGAUUAGGGUAAAUUAGAAAGUGACAUUAACAUUAAUGAAAAAGUAGAAUUUGUAAAUAUGAGAGUGUAUUAGGAUAAGUCGAAAACCCUAACAACACAAUUCAUCCAUAACAUUCAACUUCCAAUUGAUCAACUUUUGCAUGUGCAUGUUUAAUUUUCGUUUUAGCAUUAUAAACCCUAAUUUUCUUUUGGUCGAGUCUUAAAUAAUCAAGAAAUCACACGAAAGUCUAGGCCUAUGAGUCUCUAGGAAACAAUACUUGGUCUUACGACUUAUUAUUACUUGAUACGAUUUGGUACACUUGUCAGAGUCUUAACAGACGACACUCACAUGCCUAUUCGGUGUGUUUGCUAACAGAAAAAUGCCAUUUGGAUUAUGCAAUGUGAUGGGUUGUCGCAACCCACACAAAUUUGAUGUGCAAAUAAAUGCAGUAUAGCUAGGGAAUGACCCCUAGGUCGUCUCCCAAAGACCAAUU
rnacentral:lncRNA from 1 species